AGAAGGAGCAAGUCAGACAAAAGGUCAGUAAGAUGGCUGGUCGUGCAAUACCUCCUUAAUAGACAUUCAGGCUCUUAGGCUCGAACAAACAAACAAACAAACAAACAAACAAACAAACAAACAAUCAAUCAAACAAAUUAAUAACAAUACGAAAUAUGCUUCUGACUCUCAUGAUUAGUGGUUCAAAAGAAGCAGAGAAGUAACCCAAGGGGGAGGAGAGCGCAUCUUCACAGGAACUGCUGUCAUAAAGCUCUUUUAUAUGAAUGGGUUGUAUGAGAAGUGCCAGGGCAUUGUUACCAAGGUAAGACAGAUGUCCUUGUUAUUUAAAAUCUAGAGCAAUGAUCUGGACUGGGAGUAAAGUAGGGGUUAGGUUUGGGCAACACCAUUGUCUACAAGGUUAAGCUCACAUGAUGCCAAUAGCAUUUGCACAUUUAAACUGUCUGACCAACAAGGUCAAAGUAUAAUUAUAGGAUUGAGUACUGCCUGAAGUUGUUUAAAGCACACUUUAAAAUGAUCCUUGCUUUCAUUCCAUGCAGGCUCACACUAAAUGUGUCCUGGCCACACAAACGAGUAUCAUACAACAUGGCAGCCAAGAGAACACCACUGUGGAAGCAGAUCUUUCAGACCCAGCGGGAACUCUCCAAACUAAAAGCUUCUCUCGAAUAUCGGCCAUCCGUCUGCUGUCCCAGCACCUGCCCAAGGAGGACGGGUUCCCCCAAAAGCCAGGGUCCUCCCAAGGUUUCUUUUAGCUUCUGGGAGUUUUUCCUUGCCACUGACGCCUAUGGCUUGCUUCUGGGGGCAUGAGGAGUGUUAAUUUCUAUUUUAUACAUAAUAAUAAAAAAAAAUAAUAAUUAAAAACA
rnacentral:lncRNA from 1 species